UUUGCAUUAUCCCAAAAAGCGGAGGAAAAGAAACCAACAGGGAUUGCCUCAGUAACGGCGAGUGAAGCGGCAACAGCUCAAAUUUGAAAUCUGGCCUCUUGGGGUCCGAGUUGUAAUUUGUAGAGGAUGUUUUGGGUACCGCCCCGGUUUAAAUUUCUUGGAACAGAAUGUCAGAGAGGGUGAGAAUCCCGUCUUGGACCGGUGGUAGGGCCUGUGUAAAACUCCUUCGACGAGUCGAGUUGUUUGGGAAUGCAGCUCAAAAUGGGUGGUAAAUUUCAUCUAAAGCUAAAUAUUGGCCAGAGACCGAUAGCGCACAAGUAGAGUGAUCGAAAGAUGAAAAGAACUUUGAAAAGAGAGUUAAACAGUAUGUGAAAUUGUUGAAAGGGAAGCGCUUGCAACCAGACUUGAGCGCGACGGUUCCCCUAGCCUUUUGGCUAGGUUACUCCGUCGUGUCCAGGCCAACAUCGGUUCUGAGGGUCGGUCAAAGGCCCCGGGAAUGUACCUACCCACGGGUAGACUUAUAGACCGGGGUGUCAUGCGGCCUCUCGGGACCGAGGAACGCGCUUCGGCUCGGAUGUUGGCGUAAUGGUUGUCAGCGACCCGUCUUGAAACCACGGACCAA
rnacentral:rRNA from 1 species